AUUCCAUAAUGAGGACACUUUCAUAAUAAUUCUUUGUACCUUUCCCAUGCCUCAUACAAGGACUCAUCAUCCGUUUGUUGGAAAACAAUGAUCUCAUUCCUUAACUU
rfam:Gossypium arboreum cultivar AKA8401 contig_4089_13, whole genome shotgun sequence.